GACGAACGCUGGCGGCGUGCUUAACACAUGCAAGUCGAACGGAAAGGCCCUGCUUUUGUGGGGUGCUCGAGUGGCGAACGGGUGAGUAACACGUGAGUAACCUGCCCUUGACUUUGGGAUAACUUCAGGAAACUGGGGCUAAUACCGGAUAGGAGCUCCGGCUGCAUGGUGGGGGUUGGAAAGUUUCGGCGGUUGGGGAUGGACUCGCGGCUUAUCAGCUUGUUGGUGGGGUAGUGGCUUACCAAGGCUUUGACGGGUAGCCGGCCUGAGAGGGUGACCGGCCACAUUGGGACUGCGAUACGGACCAGACUGCAACGGGAGGCAGCAGUGGGGAAUAUUGCACAAUGGGCGGAAGCGUGAUGCAGCAACGCCGCGUGCGGGAUGACGGCCUUCGGGUUGUAAACCGCUUUCGCCUGUGACGAAGCGUGUGUGACGGUAAUGGGUAAAGAAGCACCGGCUAACUACGUG
rnacentral:rRNA from 1 species